GCGAGUGAAGCGGGAAAAGCUCAAAUUUAAAAUCUGGCGGUCUCUGGCCGUCCGAGUUGUAAUUUAGAGAAGCGUUAUCCGUGUUGGACCGUGUAUAAGUCUCCUGGAAUGGAGCGUCAUAGAGGGUGAGAAUCCCGUCUUUGACACGGACUACCAGUGCAUUGUGAUGCGCUCUCGACGAGUCGAGUUGUUUGGGAAUGCAGCUCAAAAUGGGUGGUAAAUGCCAUCUAAAGCUAAAUAUUGGCGAGAGACCGAUAGCGAACAAGUACCGUGAGGGAAAGAUGAAAAGAACUUUGGAAAGAGAGUUAAACAGUACGUGAAAUUGUCGAAAGGGAAACGGUUGCAGUCAGUCGCGUCCGCCGGGGAUCAACCUUGCUUUUGCUUGGCGUAUUUCCCGGUGGAUGGGUCAGCAUCAGUUUUGACCGCAGUUGAAAGGCUGGAGGAAUGUGGCACCUUCGGGUGUGUUAUAGCCUCCUGUCAUAUGCUGCGGUUGGGACUGAGGAACUCAGCACGCCGCAAGGCCGGGAUUCGUCCACGUUCGUGCUUAGGAUACUAGAAUAAUGUCUGUAACCGACCCGUCUGAAA
rnacentral:rRNA from 1 species